rnacentral:rRNA from 1 species
UUGCCUCAGUAACGGCGAGUGAAGCGGCAACAGCUCAAAUUUGAAAUCUGGCCCUUUCAGGGUCCGAGUUGUAAUUUGUAGAGGGUGCUUUGGUGUCGGCCGUGGUCUAAGUUCCUUGGAACAGGACGUCACAGAGGGUGAGAAUCCCGUACGUGGCCGCCGGUCUUCACCGUGUAAAGCCCCUUCGACGAGUCGAGUUGUUUGGGAAUGCAGCUCUAAAUGGGAGAUAAAUUUCUUCUAAAGCUAAAUAUUGGCCAGAGACCGAUAGCGCACAAGUAGAGUGAUCGAAAGAUGAAAAGCACUUUGGAAAGAGAGUCAAAAAGCACGUGAAAUUGUUGAAAGGGAAGCGCUUGCAGCCAGACGUGCCCGCAGUUGCUCACCUGGGCUCUCGCCCGGGGCAUUCUUCUGCGGGCAGGCCAGCAUCAGUUCGGGCGGUUGGAUAAAGGCCUCUAUCACGUAUCUUCCUUCGGGAUGACCUUAUAGGGGAGGCGCAACACGGCCAGCCUGAACUGAGGACCGCGCAUCAGCUAGGAUGCUGGCGUAAUGGCUGUAAGCGGCCCGUCUUGAAACACGGACCAAGGAGUCUAACAUCUAUGCGAGUGUUUGGGUGUCAAGCCCGGACGCGCAAUGAAAGUGAACGGAGGUGGGAACCUUUCGGGGUGCACCAUCGACCGAUCCUGAAGUCUUCGGAUGGAUUUGAGUAAGAGCAUAGCUGUUGGGACCCGAAAGAUGGUGAACUAUGCCUGAAUAGGGUGAAGCCAGGGGAAACCCUGGUGGAGGCUCGCAGCGGUUCUGACGUGCAAAUCGAUCGUCAAAUUUGGGCAUA